rnacentral:misc_RNA from 1 species
GAUGAAGAACGUAGCGAAAUGCGAUAAGUAAUGUGAAUUGCAGAAUUCAGUGAAUCAUCGAAUCUUUGAACGCACAUUGCGCCCAUUAGUAUUCUAGUGGGCAUGCCUGUUCGAGCGUCAUUAAUUCCACUUAAGCCCUGCUUAGUGUUGGGAAUCUACUCUAGUGGUGCUACCCUGGAGCUACCCCUGAAAGGGGGCUGGCCCGGUAGCUACCCUGUAGUUCCUCAAAGAUAGUGCGCGGAGUUGCGUGGUUCUCUGAGCUUAGUAACUAUACACCUAGCUUUUGCGUGUCCCGCGGCGCCUGCCGUUUAAACCCCAUCUUUUAAUGGUUGACCUCGGAUCAGGUAGGAAUACCCGCUGAACUUAAGCAUAUCAAUAAGCGGAGGA